GACGUAGGGUGCGAGCGUUGUCCGGAUUUAUUGGGCGUAAAGAGCUCGUAGGCGGCUCGUCGCGUCGACCGUGAAAACCCGCGGCUUAACUGCGGGCUUGCGGUUGAUACGGGCGGGCUAGAGUUCGGUAGGGGAGACUGGAAUUCCUGGUGUAGCGGUGAAAUGCGCAGAUAUCAGGAGGAACACCAGUGGCGAAGGCGGGUCUCUGGGCCGAUACUGACGCUGAGGAGCGAAAGCCAGGGGAGCAAACGGG
rnacentral:rRNA from 1 species